CAGAACUUGGUUUUAAUUUGGAUCAUGAUGAACCAUUUUGGGCAAUAAGGUCCAGAACUAAGGUAGAUGAUGGCCAGUGGCAUUCAAUUCAAGUAAGAAGAAGAAAACGAAUGGGCUUCAUUUCUGUUGAUGGAUAUGAUAUAAAUAAAGGAGUAGCUAAAACUGGAGCUAUAUCUCUGAGAACUAAUUCGAAACUAUGGUUGGGUCACUAUAUAUGGAUAAGAGUGGAUCUUCAGUACUACCAGCUGGUCUCCCAACCUCAUAUUACAAAGGAUUUGAUGGCUGCAUCCAAAAAGUUCUAAUCCACGGCAAACCUCUAGACUUAUUAGCAGAUAAUGAUAUAAGUAAAAUUAAUUUUUGCCAUGGUAAUGAAAUAUAGAUAUAAUCUCAAACAUCUUUUUACAAAGUCUUUAUAUAACUAAAGAUUUCAAACUAUGAGACUGAUAUUUUACUAUUAUUUCUGAAAUAUUGACUUCAACUCACUGGAAAAGGUUACGCAAAAAUAAAAUAUACAGAAAAGCUUUGAAAACCUUCCCAGUACCAACAAUUAAAUGAGCCUUGAAUUUUUUUGUAUAUUUUACCAUAUAAAUGUCUACAAUCGAUUAUUUAUUAGAUAAAUUGAUAGAUCAAUAAUCAUUUCAUAAAAAGAAUCAAUGUACUAUUAGUUCAAAAAAUAAUUACAAUCGAUUUAUUAUUCCUACCAUAUUAUAUUACUUGUAUUGUGCUGCCUCCAAAGUGAUUUCUUUCAUUAAGAAUAUUUCACCAAAUUUUUUAAAUUCAAUCCUGGAAAGAUUUUUUGAAUUUCUCAUAAAACCAUAAUUUGUUCGUUAGUUUUGGAUUAUCGAUCCUCUUUUAUAAAAUUUCUCGGGCUGCCUCUACUCUUAAUGGGAGCCCCAUUUUCGUUUUUUUUUAUACUUAUUUAUAUACCAUUCGAACAUUUGUUUCAUUAUCCUCGUCUUCUUCCAAUUUUUUUAAUUCAUUCAGUUCGCAUUGUCGUUUUUAUAUUUUUAUACCUAAUUUUUCACUUGCCAGUAUAUCCUGCACCUUUUCUCAACAAUUUCUCUAUCUCAUUGGCUUAUUGAUGUACAUAACAAUGUAUUAUUCCCAAUUUUGUAUUUAAUUUGAAAUAUUUAUAUACUUUUUAUUCUACUCUUUCAGUACUCCUUGCAUUGGGAGACCAAAUUUACUUCACUGGUAUCAAAUCUAAGUGCCAAUUCAGCCUUUUCAAUUAUUCUUAUCAGUGUAUUUAUCCUGGAAUAUAAAUCAUGAUAGCUGAUCUAAGUGUCAAUAACCAAACCAUUGUAUUGUUCUACAAUUUCACACAGACCAGAGUUAUAAAAAUUAUUCUAAACGUCACCAGACCUUAGUUACAUAGCAAGAAAAAUAAUCUGCUUUUUUAAGUAAUACUAGUUAAAUUGUAGUUUUCUUAUUCCACAUUCAUUCUGUUCUAGAAUCGGAACAAAUUUUUCCAUAUGGUAGGUUUUCUCGAUUUGAUAACUGACAUACCUGUAACUAUAAAUAUUUUCAGCAACAUGGCGUUUAUGUAUAAGUUACACAAAAUGGUGUUUCAUCCCAAUAAUAUAAUUCAGAAACACUGUGGGUGAUGAUAUUUACUGGAUGUGUUAAUAAAACAAAUUAGUAGAUAUAAGUUUGUAACAAUGAUGCGUAUUUAUAUUUUCUAGUUUUUGAUGGUACUAUAUAUAACGUACAAAUAUUUUUCAUGAAAUCAUGUAUUAACUCAUCUUACAAACUGUAAAAUACAUGUUACGUUGUACAUAUUUAAAAUUAAAGAAUAGAAUAUAAUUAUGUCAGUUCCACUGUCCUGUUGCGAUAAAAAUUGAAUAUACAGCUACAGUUUUCAAACUUAGUACUCAGUAGUCUAGAACUGAUGUAUUUAUAUUUUAUUUUCUUUUGAAGAAUUGUGUAAAAAUUAUAGAAUUCUUUUAAAAUUU